rnacentral:rRNA from 1 species
AGAACGAACGCUGGCGGCGUGGAUAAGACAUGCAAGUCGAACGGGAUUUGUUUUGUAGCAAUACAAAGCAAGUCCAGUGGCGUAAGGGUGCGUAACACGUGGGGAAUCUGCCGAGAAGUGGGGGAUAGCUCGCCGAAAGGCGAAUUAAUACCGCAUGUGGUUAGUGAAGACAUCUUCACGAUACCAAAGCCGGGGCAACCUGGCGCUUCUUGAUGACCCCGCGGCCUAUCAGCUAGUUGGUGAGGUAACGGCUCACCAAGGCUAUGACGGGUAGCUGGUCUGAGAGGACGACCAGCCACACUGGAACUGAGACACGGUCCAGACACCUACGGGUGCAGCAGUCGAGUAAUUUUCUCAAUGGGGGAAACCCUGAAGGAGCGACGCCGCGUGGAGGAUGAAGGUCUCGGAUUAGUAACUCUGUCAUUUGGAACAGUUGCAUUGUACUGCGAUGCAUGAUAGUACCAGAAGAGAAGAGACGGACUACUCGUGUAGCCG